UACGUAGGGUGCGAGCGUUGUCCGGAAUUAUUGGGCGUAAAGAGCUCGUAGGCGGUUUGUCGCGUCUGCCGUGAAAGUCCGGGGCUCAACUCCGGAUCUGCGGUGGGUACGGGCAGACUAGAGUGCAGUAGGGGAGACUGGAAUUCCUGGUGUAGCGGUGAAAUGCGCAGAUAUCAGGAGGAACACCAAUGGCGAAGGCAGCUCGCUGGGACGGUACUGACGCUGAGACGCGAAAGCGUGGGGAGCAAACAGG
rnacentral:rRNA from 1 species